AUUAAUGGCUAUAAAUAAAGAAUACACGUAUCUCCGGUCAAGAUUGGUCCUGUAUGCCGUAUCACCAUUUAUCAGCACGAGACUGGGAAAUGGUAGGAAAGACGCGGCAUCCCUGGGGGGCCGCCCUGUGCAGUCCGCGUGAGUAUUGUUCACCUUUACCUGAAGCGAAACGCAUCAGCAUAAAGUGACGAUCGCCGUCGUUUUGCAUUACAAAUAUAUCUGUGUUAAAACGAAACUUUCAAAUUAAAAUGCGAAUGAGAUCCUGGAGAAGGCCAGGGAGUCUCGGGACUGGCUUUGGUCGUUAGAUUUUUCUAUGCAAUAAAUAAAGGUGAAAUGUUGUUCGGUUGCAAAACCUCAGGCAGGCCAGGACACGACUCUUCUCUUAAAAUUGUGACAGUGCGUCCUCUCGCGGUGACGAACUUGUAAUAUGUGACAUCCCGUCUCACAUCUUGAUUUGUGUACUGAGUACGACAGAAAUGUUUCUGGCGCCGAUUUGCUCCUUUUGAAUGAGAUAAAUCCUUAAGAGCAUUUUCAUGUUUUCAAAAUUACAAUUUUCUUUUUUCCUCUGAAAAUAUACUUUUGGUGGACGGUUGCGUUAUGACCAAUCAACUACAUUCAAGGUAAUAUACGGUACUGUCUUUACCUCGCAGAGUUGAUAUGUGCGUAAAAUAACCGUAACUGAUGAAAAUGUGACACAUUUGACUGUACUGAAUCUCAUCUGCCAAAGUCAGGUAGGCAUAUUGUCUUGUACUCCUGUAUUAUUCCACUUGAUUGCUCGGUAAUAGGGGGCUGCCCUGUGGGGUGGUAUUCAGUGUCUAAUUCCCAGUUUGGCUGCCUCGUGCUUCCAGAUUGACAGUAUGCAAUUGGGGAAGAGGGGGCUGCUCUUUUGAUACUAUGCAAUGCGCUGAAAUGGCCAGCCUCACCGACGCCACUGGAUGUGACGUCGACAUCCCAUUAAACAGCCAGGAAACGAAUUUCUGUGCUCCUUGGAGGAGGGAUGGAGUACGUGCGCGCGCUCAAAUUAGACACAAGUGUUUGUAAAUACCUAGAAUUAUUUAUGUUCUUUAGUAACGGUAUUUUCAGGGAUGACAGUUUACUCACAUUGUUUCAUUACACUUUCGAUUUCUAACAAUAAUCUAAAUAGCCAUUUUGAGAAGUGAAAAAGAGAACAAAUGCGUAAUUUGUUAUACAUUUUGAAAUUAUGUCAAAUUACAUUAGCGUGUUUAAUACAAUAGAAACAUCAGUAUUUGGUUAUAUACACGUGUCGUCAUUCAGAAAUGCUUUAUGUUCUAAACAGGUGAGUUUUGAACGGAGUUGUGUAUUUAAAUCAUACGCAGUGCGUUUAUUUUUAUUUAUUUUUUUUUGGGUGGUCCUCAGAAUGUGACUGUUCGGAACAGACGCAAAAGUCUUUUGCAUUGCCCUACUUAAACUUAAUUUACCUGAGGUAUACACGGGGCUUUUACGCCUCUCUGUAACCGCACACGGGCACAAACUGUGUAUCUAUUGUGUGAGAAAAAAAGAAAAACAAAUAUGCUGAGUUGGCGUAACCUUUUCCUCCCCAGAAUACGCAGAAAUAACUUCUUGACUCAGACGAACCUAAACCUGAACGCAGAUGGAAACAGUUGUACUGCCACCGACAGAACAAUCCCGCUCCCUCUGUCAUGCUGUCGUGCGUGAUUAUCCUUUAGAAAAGUAUUGUGCGCUUCGUCACACAAAUUUGCAUUAUAGGUGCUCGCGGGCAGCACACGACGAUAAAUAGGUCUAUAGAAUGUUAUUUUUGACUGGCGGUUUCAAGUUUAAAGAAUAUGGGAGGCACUCCGGAGGCCGAAUCCCUUCAUGCGUCCACGUCUGUGAAACGGGAGCUCAUUCUUCAGCGCGGAAAUGAUUGGUCCUUAAAAAUUCCAUUUGAAUCUCUCCCACUACACAGAACAACAGAGAAACGGAACGGAGGUCGCACAGAGACAAACACAUUACACCCUGCGAGAUAAUUAAUAAACAGUUUACUCCCCUUCAAAAUAAUAUGCGCAGAGAAAGCCACAGAGAACCCGUAUCAAUUUUUGCCUCGAGGCCAAAAGUAAUAAGUGAUAAAGUAAAUGGCUAACCGCGUGCACAAUAAUACUUGUGCACGACAGUACAGUUACCGUUGGUAGCUUUAGACUGUGCAGGUAUUUCUGAACGACUCUGCAAAGGAGCACUGAUUAAAAUCUGUAUAGAUUUCAGUGUGGGUUCAAAUAGUACACGCUGCCGUGUAUUUUACUUACACAGUAGAUGUGCUUGAAAUAACGUGUCAUUGUUCGUGUUACACGUCAGGUCCCACUCCCAAAUUAGAUGAAACUGAUUAACAGAUAAAAUAACGUUAUAAAACAACAAGCUGAUCUUUAAUGCAUGCUGCUCUGAUGAACGAAGCGCCACAGAAAAAAUGGUUCCGAAAGCCGAAUGAAAAAUCACAAAUUGGUCUGCUAACUGGUGCGCCCCUUACCCACAGAGAGAAAGUGAAGAUGCUCUGAGAGGCCAUUUUUCCAGCGCUUAACCGACAACAUCAGAUAAACAAGACCUAUAAGAUAUUUCAGCGUAAAAAGAGAUUUCACACCAUUUUGGACGUAUCAAUGGCGAAAUGCGUGUGUUCUGCAUGAAAAUACAGCUUCAAUUCCAGGUUAAAUUUACUGUAAUCUGCAAACGUAAAUGUAACCUGUUACCAUUCCACCACAGAAAAUGACGAUGAUACGCAUAACCGAUGACAUCCAGCGUUAAUGAAAUAAAAACGAAUAUUUACGUAG